rnacentral:rRNA from 1 species
UCGGGAGGCAGCAGUGGGGAAUAUUGCACAAUGGGCGCAAGCCUGAUGCAGCCAUGCCGCGUGUAUGAAGAAGGCCUUCGGGUUGUAAAGUACUUUCAGCGGGGAGGAAGGCGGUGAAGUUAAUAGCUUCACCGAUUGACGUUACCCGCAGAAGAAGCACCGGCUAACUCCGUGCCAGCAGCCGCGGUAAUACGGAGGGUGCAAGCGUUAAUCGGAAUUACUGGGCGUAAAGCGCACGCAGGCGGUCUGUCAAGUCGGAUGUGAAAUCCCCCGGGCUUAAACCUGGGAACUGCAUUCGAAACUGGCAGGCUAGAGUCUUGUAGAGGGGGUUAGAAUUCCAGGUGUAGCGGUGAAAUGCGUAGAGAUCUGGAGGAAUACCGGUGGCGAAGGCGGCCCCUGGACAAAGCUGACGCUCAGGUGCGAAAGCGUGGGGAGCAAACGAGAUUAGAUACC